rnacentral:rRNA from 1 species
UUCGCCCUUAGAGUUUGAUCCUGGCUCAGAGCGAACGCUGGCGGCAGGCUUAACACAUGCAAGUCGAACGGGCUUCUUCGGAAGUCAGUGGCAGACGGGUGAGUAACACGUGGGAACGUGCCCUUCGGUUCGGAAUAACUCAGGGAAACUUGAGCUAAUACCGGAUACGCCCUUAUGGGGAAAGGUUUACUGCCGAAGGAUCGGCCCGCGUCUGAUUAGCUUGUUGGUGGGGUAACGGCCUACCAAGGCGACGAUCAGUAGCUGGUCUGAGAGGAUGAUCAGCCACACUGGGACUGAGGCACGGCCCAGACUCCUACGGGAGGCAGCAGAAGGG